rnacentral:rRNA from 1 species
CCUACGGGAGGCAGCAGUGAGGAAUAUUGGUCAAUGGACGAGAGUCUGAACCAGCCAAGUAGCGUGAAGGAUGACUGCCCUAUGGGUUGUAAACUUCUUUUAUAUGGGAAUAAAAUGUUCCACGUGUGGGAUUUUGUAUGUACCAUAUGAAUAAGGAUCGGCUAACUCCGUGCCAGCAGCCGCGGUAAUACGGAGGAUCCGAGCGUUAUCCGGAUUUAUUGGGUUUAAAGGGAGCGUAGGUGGGUUGUUAAGUCAGUUGUGAAAGUUUGCGGCGUAACCGUAAAAUUGCAGUUGAAACUGGCAGUCUUGAGUACAGUAGAGGUGGGCGGAAUUCGUGGUGUAGCGGUGAAAUGCUUAGAUAUCACGAAGAACUCCGAUUGCGAAGGCAGUUCACUGGACUGCAACUGACACUGAGGCUCGAAAGUGUGGGUAUCAAACAGGAUUAGAUACCCGUGUAGUC